rnacentral:rRNA from 1 species
GGUCAAGCGAAUAAGUGCAUGUGGUGGAUGCCUUGGCGAUCACAGGCGAUGAAGGACGUAGUAGCUUGCGAAAAGCUGCGGGGAGCUGGCAAACGAGCUUUGAUCCGCAGAUGUCCGAAUGGGGAAACCCGGCCCGUAUGGGUCAUCCCUUGCUGAAUACAUAGGCAAGGGAGGCGAACGCAGUGAACUGAAACAUCUAAGUAGCUGCAGGAAAAGAAAUCAACCGAGAUUCCCAAAGUAGUGGCGAGCGAAAUGGGAACAGCCUUGUACUCUUUAGCAGUAUUGUUAGCGGAACGGAAUGGAAAGUCCGGCCAUAGUGGGUGAUAGCCCCGUACGCGAAAACAGUAUUGUGGAACUAGGUGUACGACAAGUAGGGCGGGACACGUGAAAUCCUGUCUGAAGAUGGGGGGACCAUCCUCCAAGGCUAAAUACUCGUGAUCGACCGAUAGUGAACCAGUACCGUGAGGGAAAGGCGAAAAGAACCCCGGGAGGGGAGUGAAAUAGAUCCUGAAACCGCAUGCAUACAAACAGUCGGAGCCUGGAAACGGGUGACGGCGUACCUUUUGUAUAAUGGGUCAGCGACUUACAUUCAGUGGCAAGCUUAACCGAUUAGGGAAGGCGUAGCGAAAGCGAGUCCGAAUAGGGCGUUCAGUCGCUGGGUGUAGACCCGAAACCAAGUGAUCUAUCCAUGGCCAGGUUGAAGGUGCGGUAACACGUACUGGAGGACCGAACCCACUAACGUUGAAAAGUUAGGGGAUGAGCUGUGGAUAGGGGUGAAAGGCUAAACAAACUUGGAAAUAGCUGGUUCUCUCCGAAAACUAUUUAGGUAGUGCCUCGUGUCUCACCUUCGGGGGUAGAGCACUGUCAUGGUUGGGGGGUCUAUUGCUGAUUACCCCGCCAUAGCAAACUCCGAAUACCGAAGAGUGCAAUCACGGGAGACAGACAUCGGGUGCUAACGUCCGGUGUCAAGAGGGAAACAACCCAGACCGCCAGCUAAGGUCCCUAAGAUUGGCUAAGUGGGAAACGAAGUGGGAAGGCUAAAACAGUCAGGAGGUUGGCUUAGAAGCAGCCACCCUUUAAAGAAAGCGUAAUAGCUCACUGAUCGAGUCGUCCUGCGCGAAGAUGUAACGGGGCUAAGCCAGUCACCGAAGCUGCGGAUGCACGUAAGUGCAUGGUAGGAGAGCGUUCUGUAAGCCUGUGAAGGUGUCUUGUAAAGGAUGCUGGAGGUAUCAGAAGUGCGAAUGCUGACAUGAGUAGCGAUAAAGGGGGUGAAAGGCCCCCUCGCCGUAAGCCCAAGGUUUCCUACGCAACGUUCAUCGGCGUAGGGUGAGUCGGCCCCUAAGGCGAGGCAGAGAUGCGUAGCUGAUGGGAAGCAGGUUAAUAUUCCUGCACCGUCGUAUGAUGCGAUGGGGGGACGGAUCGCGGAAGGUUGUCCGGGUGUUGGAAGUCCCGGUCCCUACAUUGGAGAUGGCACUUAGGCAAAUCCGGGUGCGUGAUUCAAGGGUGUGGGGCGAGCGACGUUAGGUCGCGAAGCAAUUGGAAGUGGUUCCAAGAAAAGCCUCUAAGCUUCAGUCAUACGAGACCGUACCGCAAACCGACACAGGUGGGCGAGAUGAGUAUUCUAAGGCGCUUGAGAGAACUCGGGAGAAGGAACUCGGCAAAUUGGUACCGUAACUUCGGGAUAAGGUACGCCCUUGUAGUUUGACUGGCUCGCGCCAGAAGGAUGAAGGGGUUGCAAUAAAAUGGUGGCUGCGACUGUUUAAUAAAAACACAGCACUCUGCAAACACGAAAGUGGACGUAUAGGGUGUGACGCCUGCCCGGUGCCGGAAGAUUAAAUGAUGGGGUGCAAGCUCUUGAUUGAAGUCCCGGUAAACGGCGGCCGUAACUAUAACGGUCCUAAGGUAGCGAAAUUCCUUGUCGGGUAAGUUCCGACCUGCACGAAUGGCGUAACGAUGGCCACACUGUCUCCUCCCGAGACUCAGCGAAGUUGAAGUGUUUGUGAUGAUGCAAUCUCCCCGCGGCUAGACGGAAAGACCCCAUGAACCUUUACUGUAGCUUUGCAUUGGACUUUGAACCGAUCUGUGUAGGAUAGGUGGGAGGCUUUGAAACCGGGACGCUAGUUUCGGUGGAGCCGACCUUGAAAUACCACCCUGGUUUGUUUGAGGUUCUAACCUUGGCCCGUGAAUCCGGGUCGGGGACAGUGCAUGGUAGGCAGUUUGACUGGGGCGGUCUCCUCCCAAAGUGUAACGGAGGAGUUCGAAGGUACGCUUGGUACGGUCGGACAUCGUACCUAAAGUGCAAUGGCAAAAGCGUGCUUAACUGCGAGACCGACAAGUCGAGCAGGUGCGAAAGCAGGACAUAGUGAUCCGGUGGUUCUGUAUGGAAGGGCCAUCGCUCAACGGAUAAAAGGUACUCUGGGGAUAACAGGCUGAUACCGCCCAAGAGUUCAUAUCGACGGCGGUGUUUGGCACCUCGAUGUCGGCUCAUCUCAUCCUGGGGCUGUAGCCGGUCCCAAGGGUAUGGCUGUUCGCCAUUUAAAGAGGUACGUGAGCUGGGUUUAAAACGUCGUGAGACAGUUUGGUCCCUAUCUGCCGUGGGCGUUGGAAUCUUGACGGGGGCUGCUCCUAGUACGAGAGGACCGGAGUGGACGUACCGCUGGUGUACCUGUUGUCUCGCCAGAGGCAUCGCAGGGUAGCUAUGUACGGAAGAGAUAACCGCUGAAAGCAUCUAAGCGGGAAACUCGCCUGAAGAUGAGGAUUCCCUGGAGACUUGAUCUCCCUGAAGGGUCGUUCGAGACCAGGACGUUGAUAGGCUGGGUGUGGAAGCGCAGUAAUGCGUUCAGCUAACCAGUACUAAUUGCCCGUGCGGCUUGAUCCU